GGCACCAAUAAUGACAACUGGUGGCAUUUGAGUUAUGGACUAUGAAUAAUAUGUGUCUGGAACUCUGAGGUUCAA
rnacentral:snoRNA from 1 species